UACGUAGGGGGCUAGCGUUGUCCGGAAUUAUUGGGCGUAAAGGGCGCGUAGGCGGCUAUCCAAGUGGCGGGUGAAAUCCCUCGGCUUAACCGAGGAACUGCCUGCCAGACUGGAUGGCUCGAGACCGGGAGAGGUGAGUGGAAUUCCCAGUGUAGCGGUGAAAUGCGUAGAUAUUGGGAGGAACACCAGUGGCGAAGGCGGCUCACUGGACCGGUACUGACGCUGAGGCGCGAAAGCGUGGGGAGCAAACAGG
rnacentral:rRNA from 1 species